rnacentral:rRNA from 1 species
UGUUUAACGGCCGCGGUAUUUUAACCGCGCGAAGGUAGCGUAAUCACUUGUCUUUUAAAUGGAGACCUGUAUGAAUGGCAUAACGAGGGUCUGACUGUCUCCUACGCCCAGUCAAUGAAAUUGAUCUGCCCGUGCAGAAGCGGACAUAUUUACAUAAGACGAGAAGACCCUAUGGAGCUUUAGGCAGAUGAUCAAGCAAAACAAGUCACGGCCCUUAAUACUAAAGCCAGGAAAAACAAAAGCCAAUGAUCAGAGUGCCUUCGGUUGGGGCGACCGUGGAGGAAACGAAAUCCUCCAAGUGGAAAGGGAGAACCCUUAAGCUAAGAGAGACAUCUCGAUGUAGCAGAACCUAUGACCAAAUGUGACCCAGGUUUCAACCUGAUCAACGAACCCAGUUACCCUAGGGAUAACAGCGCAAUCCUCUCCCAGAGUCCCUAUCGACGAGGGGGUUUACGACCUCGAUGUUGGAUCAGGACAUCCUAAUGGUGCAGCCGCUAUUAAGGGUUCGUUUGUUCAACGAUUAACUGG